rnacentral:misc_RNA from 1 species
UGUGGGAGCGAGCCUGCUCGCGAUGGGGCUUCACAUUCAACACAUAAGUUGACUGGUAGGCCGUCAUCGCGAGCAGGCUCGCUCCCACA